GAAUAUGGGAUUUAAACCUCUUCCAGAGUAUCAAUUGGAGGGCAAGUCUGGUGCCAGCAGCCGCGGUAAUUCCAGCUCCAAUAGCGUAUAUUAAAAUUGUUGCAGUUAAAAAGCUCGUAGUUGAAUUUCUGCUGCAUUGCUUUUGCUCCUUUACGAGUCUUUGCAUUGUGGCUUAUUUCGGACUUUGUUUUACAAUGUCCGGAUGUUUACUUUGAGAAAAUUAGAGUGCUCAAAGCAGGCUUUCGCCUUGAAUAGUUUAUCAUGGAAUAAUAAAGUAGGACUUUGGUUCUAUUUUGUUGGUUUUAGGUACCAAAGUAAUGGUUAAUAGGAACAGUUGGGGGCAUUCGUAUUUAACUGUCAGAGGUGAAAUUCUUAGAUUUGUUAAAGACGAACUACUGCGAAAGCAUUUGCCAAGGAUGUUUUCAUUAAUCAAGAACAAAAGUUAGGGGAUCUAAGA
rnacentral:rRNA from 1 species